rnacentral:rRNA from 1 species
AUCAUGGAGAGUUUGAUCCUGGCUCAGGACGAACGCUGGCGGCGUGCUUAACACAUGCAAGUCGAACGGGAGGAC